rnacentral:sRNA from 2 species
GCACUGGCAAAAUCCAGUGCCGGGAUUGGCGUCCCGAGUUACUAAGUGGCGCAUACCACGCCAGACGUGGUUUUUUU